UACGGAGGGGGCUAGCGUUGUUCGGAAUUACUGGGCGUAAAGCGCGCGUAGGCGGCUCUGUAAGUUAGAGGUGAAAGCCCGGAGCUCAACUCCGGAAUUGCCUUUAAGACUGCAUCGCUAGAAUCAUGGAGAGGUUAGUGGAAUUCCGAGUGUAGAGGUGAAAUUCGUAGAUAUUCGGAAGAACACCAGUGGCGAAGGCGACUAACUGGACAUGUAUUGACGCUGAGGUGCGAAAGCGUGGGGAGCAAACAGG
rnacentral:rRNA from 1 species